GGAUGUGAGGGCAAUCUGGCUGCGACAUCUGUCACCCCAUUGAUGGCCAGGGUUGAUUCGGCUGAUCUGGCUGGCUAGGUGGGUGUCCCCUUCCUCCCUCACCGCUCCAUGUGCGUCCCUCCCGAAGCUGCGC
rnacentral:snRNA from 1 species